AUGUAUAUGGAAAUUCUAAAUCAAUUAUAAAACAUAGUGACAUUCUUAACUUUUCAUAUGAUCGUAAGAAAUGUUAUGAGCGUCAAGUUUCGGGGACAUAAGAAACAAAGUGUAUGUAUAUUCCUUUUGCGAACGUUCUUUCUAACUGAAAUGUCACGGCUGAUUAACCAACAAUUCGAAGAAGGCGCGUAGAAACAGAAAAGUGUGGUGUCGAUGAAAUCUUAGAUCAAACCUCCACAUCGAAGUAAAGUACCUUUCUACAACUUCUCUUAUGAUGUAUAACUGAAUAUUUUCAACGAAAUAUUAUUAUAAAUAUGGAAACUUGUCGAAGCUAUACCGGAUGAACUUGAAGAUAUUUUCGUAAAAUCUUUUAACUAAAAAACGAACGAAAAUGUCGAUUUCGUUCUUGAAAGGCGAUUUAACAGCGAAUUAACGCACGUUCGAGUAACAGGGGCGACAAAUAUCUUUAUCCGUUCCUGAAUGGAACAGAACACACCGACAGUAGAGAGAUAUCACUUUCCCGGCUUUCUUGGUGCCACGCCCGAUCGUACCGUACUUUUAUGCGAACUUGAACGAAACGCGUGUUCUUCGCGGCGCAUACUAAUUGACGAAGGCAGAAAAAUACGGCCAGUUCUAAAAUUUCACACGAAAUCACGAACGACGAGUAGAAUCGUGUUUAGUUAAAUUUUAUGCCUCUCAUUAAGAGGAGAAAUCGGAGGUAUCAACGUAAAAACAAUUUAAAUGAUAAUUAAUUGGAACAAUGGAGAAAUUAGACCAAUAAUACAUGUAAUACGAGACUUGUAAAUUAUCGACUGACCUUUUAGCCAAUUGUAGAGCUUAUUAUCUCCACCGUCUCGUAUAGCUUCUAGAUGGCUCUUUGAGGAACUAUUUCGAAAACUUUGAAAACCAACUUCUGACGGUUUAGCAUGGCUAUCGUCAAAUACGUCCUUUAGUUACCGCGAUACACUUCAAGUACCGUUUUGAAUCAAUUGAACGAGUCACAGCGUUUUUCUUUGACGGUUUGGCGAUUACGAGCAGAGUGACAGGAAUUGGGAACCUGUAAUUUCUCUCUUGUAAGAAAGUAACAAAUUUGACGAAUUUUACAAAAUCGAAGGAACGAAGAUACCACUACGAUCGAGUCAUUCAAAGUCGAAAUUAAACGAGGAAAUUGAUCGUUUGAUUGCAUCAUCGUACCGCUUCGCAUACACCGUAAAUUUCCUGCUAAUAUUUCUAACUCAGAGUCGAGUACAACUUGAAGAAACGAUCGUUCUUUGCUACGCGUUCGUGAAUUCAGACGUGUAACAGACACGUGUUCUAUUCGCAUACCAGCGACAGAACAAGACUAUUUCCAGCUUGCUAUAAUUUGUUCUUACACAAUGUUUUAUUUUAACUAUUUUUUUCUUUAAUAGUUAGUGUUGUCUAAAAAUACAAAAAUACAAAAGAUAUUCCUUGAUAGCAAACUAUUUAUUGAUAUUUUCUACUUCGUCGGUUCUCAUAACUUGAAACAAAGAAUGUUCUUUAUGUUUCUUCAUGAAAAUCGCCUAAAGAUGGCAAACAUAUUUCAUCCAACGACGUCUGUUCUGAAGAUCAUUUCUCAUGACUUAUCGUAAAUGUAUUUGCAUUAACAAAUUAAUAGUUUGAUAAAUUCCUCGGGUGUUCCUCGUCUGAUCGUUUUGAAUAUCUGUUGUCAUCAUGAAUGAGGAUAUUUUCAAAAAUAUUAUAUCAAUAACUUUUUCUCUUGUUACUUAUCAAGAAUUUUUAAGUACAAGACUUGUAAUCUUACAUGCUCAUUAUAUCUAGCAGGAUUCUCAUCAAAAUCAUUUAAAAGUUCUUUACAUUCUUCUAAUAUCUUCAUCCUGCCGAUUAAAAUACUUCCUCUAGUUCGUUCAGCUAGUUCUGACCCCUCAUGCAUGGCUACAGCUUCAAUAAAUUGACUAUUUAACUUUUCCUUUAAAUUCCUCACUUUCUUUUGCAACCACUGAUUUUUUGCCGCAACUUCUUGGUGCACAAGUGGACAAGAAACCUGAAUUUCAUGAUCUAUUAAAGCAAGUUCCAAUUCUUGUACUGGUUCAGUUAAUCGAUUUACUUAUGAAACUCGUCGGUCUUGAUUUAUUACACGUUUAUUCCUUAUUUUACAUACUCUGUCUGCGCAUCUCAACGCAAUAAAAGUUUCAUUCGUAUUGUAAUCUAAAAGUACAUCAAACGAAACAUGGAUUAUCUUCAAUAUUAAUAUUGAAUACAAAUGUAGGAUGGGAAAUCCUUCCAUACUCAAAUACCAAGAUCGUGGAAUACAAAUAGCCGCGACGUCGACGUAGUGAAUAACAUAGUCGGCUGCGAACACCAAGAGUCCGGGUGGAUUCGAUUGCCUGGCACGCCAUAGUCUGUAUCGUAUUUUCCACGAUAAAUACUACGUACAUACCAUUAUUACACGAUACGAUAAUAAUAACCUGCUGAACUAAUGCAAAAUCACGAAAGUGAUUGAGUUAAGAUAUAGAACAGUCCUGACAAAUUAGUAAAAAAAUGCAACUAACCACGGAGGCAACUUAUUGAAGAGACAAGUAACAUAAUUCAUUUACGUUAGUAGCAACAACAGCAAAGUUUGCCAUAGUUAGAUUUGUAAUAUAUUUCUGAACGUAGUAAAAAAGAAAGAAAUAAUAAAGAUAGAGCUAAAUCUACUUAGAGUAAGUUUUGCUGUUGUGGCUUUUCUGCUAAAUUAUGUUAAUAAAAAAGAACAAAAUAUUACAAUAUAUUAUAAGUAAAUGUUAUUUUUUCAUUUCUAGAUAUAUUGCUUACAGAACAUUCCUUUUAGGUUGAUGUAUAUGUGGAACGAAUAUCGCAUGACUUUGUCAUACUGUCCAUUCAUUUCGGUAGCACCUGCUACACAAAAAUCUUACUGUUUACUGUUUCCAUUGCAUUUGUAACUUCUCUUUUUAUAAAUCCAGCAAUCUUCAUGUUUUUACCUUCAUGUUUUUUUAUUACUGAUAUUGACAAUACCACUAUCAAUAUCAACUAUCAAUAUCUAUCUAUUAUCACUAUCACUAUCAAUAUUGACAAUAUCAAUAUCAACUAAUUUCGUUGUUUAUCGGUUAAUGAAUUGUACUGCUCUAAAAUGUUAUAAAUUACGCUCUUUCUCUCUUUCUACAUCUACGACUAAUAACAUUAAGAAGUUGUAACGUUAAAUAUUACAUAAACCUCGGUGAAAGAUGAAAGCGAUUUGAAAUCUAUGAAAGUUGAUAGUAAAAGUAGCUUAUCUCUCUACUAUUUAUAUAUGAUCGGAGUAUAUUAUUAGUAUAUUAUACUACUAUUCGCUAUAUCGUAUUAAUGCUAUUACUAUGUAAUAUUGAGGAUAACGAUGACUUUUAAGUCACAGUUACAGUGUCUACAAGAGUCUACAGGUCUUCAUCUUCGCACAUCUUGAAUAUAAUUCUAAAAACACAAAUGCAAACAAUUUUAAUUAAAUGCAUCUUCUUUCAGUAUUUAUAGACAAGUUGUCAGGGAAGUAUUGGCACAAUAUUGUAUUUCUUAUUGCAUUUACAUACCAACUAAUUACCUCCAGAUAUAUUAAAUUUCUUACCAUUUAGCAGCGCUUUCGUACGACUAGAAAAAUUUAGCGCUAUGAACGUGACGUGUAAAAUCUAAUGAAAAAAUGCAUCAUUGAAAAAUAAGAGAAUAUGACAAUGGUUCUUGUCAUCGCUGUAAUUAUUAAAUUUUACCAAUUACGCUUAAUCAAAACUACCUGUAACGCGAUUAAUAAAUUCGUGGUAAUAACUAUC